AGUGAACGCUGGCGGUAGGCCUAACACAUGCAAGUCGAACGGCAGCACAGGAGAGCUUGCUCUCUGGGUGGCGAGUGGCGGACGGGUGAGGAAUACAUCGGAAUCUACUUUUUCGUGGGGGAUAACGUAGGGAAACUUACGCUAAUACCGCAUACGACCUACGGGUGAAAGCAGGGGACCUUCGGGCCCUGCGCGAUUGAAUGAGCCGAUGUCGGAUUAGCUAGUUGGCGGGGUAAAGGCCCACCAAGGCGACGAUCCGUAGCUGGUAUGAGAGGAUGAUCAGCCACACUGGAACUGAGACACGGUCCAGACUCCUACGGGAGGCAGCAGUGGGGAAUAUUGGACAAUGGGCGCAAGCCUGAUCCAGCCAUACCGCGUGGGUGAAGAAGGCCUUCGGGUUGUAAAGCCCUUUUGUUGGGAAAGAAAUCCAGCUGGCUAAUACCCGGUUGGGAUGACGGUACCCAAAGAAUAAGCACCGGCUAACUUCGUGCCAGCCGCCGCGGUAA
rnacentral:rRNA from 1 species